rnacentral:rRNA from 1 species
ACUACGGGAGGCAGCAGUGGGGAAUAUUGGGCAAUGGGCGCAAGCCUGACCCAGCAACGCCGCGUGAAGGAAGAAGGCUUUCGGGUUGUAAACUUCUUUUCUCAGGGACGAAGCAAGUGACGGUACCUGAGGAAUAAGCCACGGCUAACUACGUGCCAGCAGCCGCGGUAAUACGUAGGUGGCAAGCGUUAUCCGGAUUUACUGGGUGUAAAGGGCGUGUAGGCGGGAAAGGAAGUCGGAUGUGAAAACCAUGGGCUCAACCUGUGGCCUGCAUUUGAAACUGUUUUUCUUGAGUACUGGAGAGGCAGACGGAAUUCCUAGUGUAGCGGUGAAAUGCGUAGAUAUUAGGAGGAACACCAGUGGCGAAGGCGGUCUGCUGGACAGCAACUGACGCUGAGGCGCGAAAGCGUGGGGAGCAAACAGGAUUAGAUACCCGAGUAGUC